CCGCCCGCCCCGGCAGGUGAGCAGACAAGCCUCUCGGAGUGGUCUGCUUUUGAGCUGCUCUUCUCAAGGUGGCCCCAGCCAAGACCAGGAAUCAUAUAAGCUUCUUGAUUAUAUGAACUUCAUACCCACCAAACCUGGAUUCAUCCUGACCCAGCCCUAUGGAUUCUUCCUCCGUGGUGUUUCUUGACGCUGCUCCAUCUUUCUGUUUACUGCAGACAUCACCUUUCUUCAGACACCAUUUCAUCUUGUGGUGGUCCAGCAGAAAGUCGUAUCUGAAAAGAAUCCAGAACUCCAGCAUGUCGGUGCAGUAGUCGGUCAGAGCCAAUGAACACAUGCUCUGCUGUUGUGCAUCAAGCUCUCCAGGUCCCACUAUUUUCUUCCACAGAUCUCGUGGAUGCCGGGAAGCAGCACCACAUGCCACAUGUCCCUUCGGGGAUGAAGGUGUGACUCUCCCCACUGCUGACAGAAAGCCCUCGGGGAUUGCCUCUCCUAAAGGGAGCUGCUUUGUCCAAGGUUGUUUCCUGAAACACGUUCCUCCAAUUCCUACACAACAUUGCCAAAGACAUUACCAUUCAAGACGGCAUCGGUUGCUUAUU